GUGCUCGCUUCAGCAGCACACAUACUAAAAUUGGAAUGAUACAGAGAAGAUUAGCACAGCCCCUGCACAAGGAUGACAUGCAAAUUCGUGAAGCAUUCCAUAUUUAU
rnacentral:snRNA from 1 species